GACAUAACUUAGAAUUCUCUCAAUUCAAUUUAAAAAAUAUAAGCGCGGUUGCCAGGGUUAGACUCUAGUUUAGUAUUAUUUCAACAUUAAAUCUGGUGUUAUGGUUGGAGUAGACUAUGUACAAUAGUUUAACAAUGGUUAUAUCAUUCAACACCAUGUUUUUCUUUUACUUUUUACAUUUCACAUCACAUUUUACCUCUUUUACAUAAUUAUUCAACAUCCAUUCAACAUUCAUAUCUUACAAUGGUUUUAUUUG
rnacentral:lncRNA from 1 species